ACAAGUCAAAGACCUGCUCAUUGGACAGGCACACAAGUCAAAGACACACAGUCUCCCUCCCCGCUGGCCACUCCUAUAGUUCUUUUCGUGACUCGCUCCCCAUUCUUCUUUUGCUUAUUUGGAUCUCUGUCGUCGUCUCCACGGGUCAACGGGUCUUUGGUCGGAAGGACACUGGAAGAAGGACUGUGCCCUCUCCGCUCAAGGAGGGAAGCCAUCCCGACUCCUAAAAGGCCAAAAGGACGUCUCCUCCAACCAGCUGCCAAUGUCGGUCAUUGCUGACUACGAGCCAGGCGACUGCCACCUCGACUGACGGGCCCGGGAUUCAUCCAGGCCCCCUCUGCAACACCACAGAGGCCGAGCCCAGGGUAACGCUUGACGUGGCAGGACGGCAGGACUCUGACUUGGCUUGGAGUGCGCUGGAGUGAGGUGAAGGAUGUUCCUUAAAUAGCAGCCAGCAGAGCCCAGCAGACAGAGGAACACGCUGGGUCAAGUCUAUUUUGGCAUUUGCGGCCAUCCCAGAGGACACCACCAAAGACCUGGCCCUAGCUGCUCCCUGUUGCCACAGCUGGCUCACAUUCGACCCCACAACUUGUUUUCUCUUCCCCUAGGGUGAAGCAUCACCUCUUCCAGCCGGGCACGGACUGGGGAGCCGCUGCUGGCACCAUGACCUCAGACGCCCACGGGACCUGCCCAGGUACUCAGCUCGCUCUUCUCUGGCUGGUUCCUACUUGCUACCUAGAACUGGGGGUGGCACCUCCAAAUGAGUUAAGCUUCACAGGAAUCAAUAACCUGAUGAGUGUCCUGGACCCCCCCAGAGGGGCCAAGGGGAGUCCCCUCACCCCAGAGUCUCUGGGGGAACCUGCUUUCUGGUCUUCAGGGUGCCAUGGCUGAGCUGCUGACUGACUCGCUCCCUGCUGCCCAUCCAAUGACUCAGAAGUUUGGCCAGGACAGCCCACAGGGAAGUGGGGCACAGCAGAGGGGAGACUCUUGUCCCCACUACCUGGAAUCUGAUCAUUCCAGGUGGAAAGCCUCCCACCUCCCCAGUAUCCCCUUCCCCCUAGGUCUGUGUUAGGGCCCUGGCCUCUGUUCCCAAUUCGAAAUACUUGCUUACCAGGUGUGACCGCCUCAGGCAAGAGCUGCUUCUAUUGAUCUCAAACACCCCUGCAGAGGCCCAGCUCUGUUAGUCACCCCCACCCAAGCCACCCCAAUCAAUAAAUGCACAGAUUUAAUGCUGUGGGUUCCCUCCAUCUAAUUCCCCUGGUUUCCUUUCUCCCUUACUGAAGCAAGAAAAAAAAACCCAACAACCCUGUACCCACCCAUAUCAACAUUAGGACUGCAUUGACUAGGCAACAAAUCAACCUCCCAGGAGCCCCCCGGGAAAGAAAAACACUUUUCUUGCUGCAGGAUAAGGAAGGAGAGGACAGCUCAGAGGACAGGAGCCCCCGGGCAGGCUCCGGGGGCCUUGGUGGGGCACUGGGCCUUUAUCCUGAGAAUAAGCAAGCUGAAGUCUUGCUUAAUAAAUGGGCCACUUGGGUUCAGAGAUGCCAACGGGGAGCUGUGUCCCCUGAGACCAGCCUGGAGGGCAGAGAGGUGAUGACAAAGUGAUCACAGGAUUAGAGCUGAGGGUCCAGCCCCCCACCCACCUGAAGACACCCCUCCACUGCCAUGUGAGUAGCAGGAGGAAUCCUCUUGGCACUGAGUAAACUCAGUGGU